CACAAUGAAUGUAAGUUCUGUCAUUGUCCUCGCCUGAGCUGUGGCUGAAAGGCUGACAAGUUUUCUUAAUGCCGAAAUUUAUUCCCCUCCUAAUGUUGGGUAGCUGCUCUUGUGUGUCACUGAUAAGCAUAUUUAAAAAAAAAAAAAUCGUAAAUGCAUUUGUGUUAUUUUUUGUUUGAUAGCUGUUUUUUAUCAAAGUGAGGAACAAGUACUGUCAUCAUCCCAGUUACCUUGGGCUCCACUUUUGUUUUUGCUUAAUAGUACCUCUUGUAGGCAUUGAUGAGAUUUUACCUACAUAAGGAUACAGUGCUGCAUGUACGCUACCUUAUUUUCAACUCAAAGAUCGAUACCAAUUCCAUGCUGCCAUUGCUAUGGAGACAUGGCUGAUAAGCACUCUUUAUUUCAUUAUUUUAGUAGGACGCUGCACUGGAAAGCUUUAAUUUUUCCUUUUGCGUAUCACUUUAAUUCCCCUUACCCCACCAGUUCUUCCAUUUCUUUCUACAGCUUUUGUGGCCUGAGACCACCUGUAGUAUAAAGAUGUUAUGUGCCUACUGUGGAACAGCUACUUCAGGUUUGAUUGUUGACAUAAUUUAAUUACUAAUGCAGGCUUACACAACUGUCAAGUUUAUUCAUCUCUUGCAUAUGCAUUCCACUAUGGAUGACUGUAGAGGACGUUACCUCAGAUUAUGUGAGCUCUACUUACACAGGCAGAAAACAAUGUUUCUAUCUUGGUUAUUUUUAUACAAUCUCUUCUGUUUUCUCUAAAGCCCUUUCCAGGUCUUGCAAUGCUGAACAAUUAACGGCUUUAGAAAUUAAGUUGCUUUGUGAACAGCAUUUUGCACCUGAAGUCUCUCCACCACCGUAAUCCCUUCCCUUAGCACUCCUCUCAAGGCAAUGACUAAGGCAUCCCAUCCAGCUGUCUGCACAGGUGUCAGAAGUGUCAGGUAACCAAGAGGACAUGUCAUGGCAUCCCCUCACUGCUCCUUGCACACCUGCAGUCCUCAUCCAUGCUUCUCACCACCCACCUGGGCACCAGCAAAUCCCUACUGAUGGCAACUUUGCAAGACAGAGGCAAUGAAGACCCAAGCUGAAAUGACUGGAAAACUUUAGAAGGCAAUCAGAAAAUAAUUGCAUCUCUGAAAGGAAAUUUCAGUGUUGUUUUAUAAAUCUGACCACAAAGAGAACUCUGACCUGAAGCUAUCUUCUGGAAAGGUGUGUUGCAAAUAAAUCCCUUUUUCUUCAUGGAAACUAUAGGCGUGUGGGGCUGCAGCAGACCAUGAGAAGCUGUAGUGCACUCCUCUUUUUCUGUUUAGUUAAGGUAGACUUAGACUGUCCUUGACAUGUUUUUAUCUAACUUAUUCUUCAAAACUUCUAAUAGAGAGAUUCAAUCUUUUCCACAUUUUCUUACUAGAUGCACAAAUACAGCAUUACUGGAUUUGAUGGAAAGGCUAUGGUAACAGUGUAAUUGUAUAUUUAAUGAGGUGGGGGGAAGCUACCUUGUUUAUACACUUCAUACUUUUUAUUACUUUAUAUACAUUUAAAAUAUAUAAAAUACUGUGACAUUCUCCUGUGUUACUUUUUUAAUUUCUAUACAGAAACUCAAGUUCAAAUUGUGACUUCUUCAGGCCUCUGUAUUUGUGCAGUUCAAAAAUGUUUAAGCUGUCCCUUUUACUGCAGCGGAACAUGAGCAGGUCUGCAAGUUGCAGGCCUGCACCUUUACUCACAGGGCUAUGCCACGGGAAGAUGGGCAGAGCUUAUGGCGGCAGUGAGGUAUCUCUCCUCAGCAUUAGCUUGUAAGGCUUGCGCCGUGUGACUGCAAGCUUGCUUGCUCAGAUUCCAUGCUUACGUGUGUGUACUCUCUCUUCAUCUUCUAUCUGACCUCUCCAGAGAAAAGCAGCACGCAGUCAGUAGCCAGAGGAUUAAACACUAGCACAUAUCCUUUGUCUGGGACCUCAGUCAGGGUCCGUUUCUUCACUACCCAGCUGCAGAAUAUUUACUAUGUGAAGAAAGCAAGCAUGGGAAUCUGCUUUAUGGCAGCACGACUGCUCUUCCCAAAGAACCCAUGCGUGUAUAAAACAGUGAAAAAUCAUCUAUCAAGCACUAUAUUCUCACAUGUAUUUUGAUUCAUCGGGCAAAAAUUAUGGUCAGAGCUAAAGCUCUGCCUCCCGUUUAUCAUCUAUAGGUCUUACAUGAAUGUCAACAUAUAUACUCCCUGGACAUUCCUUGCACAUAUUUUUAAUUCUCAGGUUGUUGCAUUGUUGUUUUGUGUACACAAGAACACAUGCAAAGAAGAUACUAAAAAUGUAAGUUUAUAUUUUUAUUCUUCUAAAUUUUUCACAAGGAAGAAAUGCAGUAUGUUCUAGCUGAUGUGAGGGGGUUUAUGUACACCAUGUAACAUGCAUUUAAGAAAGUGCUUCGUACUCAGCAGUCCUUACACAAAAUGUUUAAUUAAGCUGUUUACCAAUAUCAGUAAGUUUGUACUUACAGAGUCUGUCUCUGGCACCUAAUGUAACGUGAACAUUCUCAUUUUUUCCCUAGUAAUAUUCUCCGGUCUAACAGGCAGAGUUAAAUGUGACUUUUGAAUAAAAGGCAAGAACUUCAAAUUCUAAUCAGUCUGUUUUGUGUUUUUUGUGUUUUGUUUUUUUUUUUUUAAAGUUAUUGAUGAUUUUUUUGCCAAAUAUUGUACAGCUUAGUGACUUCACUGUACUUUAGUAAAAGAUGAAAUGAAAUCGGUUCUAAGGAAAGCAAAUGCACUGAAGAAGUACAUGAAGUCAAACAAGGAAUCAUUUGAGUUAUCUUCAUUUCUUCCCCCCCUUAGGGAUAUUGAACCCCUACAGGAACUUACAAAGAUCUUCCUAUUUAGGCUAUUUCCUUUUGUUUUAUAAAGCUUGUCUUUUCUCUUGUGACUUGAAUGCUAUGUGCAAAUGUAAGGCUGACUCACUAGAGUUCAUCUUGUAUAAGAUGCCAUUCCUUUUCCAAAAGCAGAGCAGGAGCAGAUUCGGGACAGUCACCAUCCAACCACUCUUUCCUUUUUGCCCCAAGGCAGAGCAAGCCACUAUGAGAAUCCUGCUGCAUGUACAUUUCUCCUGUGAUGCUGGCUUACCCACAGCUUCCCUUUGUUGGGAUGCUGAAGGGGAAACUCAAACUGUUUUCCACCAUUAGCAUGGGGUCGGGAUGGCAACUUAGCUCUUUCUAUUGAAUUUGUGUAUGAGUCCAAAAGAAGGGUUUAAUAGAGACCCAUAAACGUUUCUAACGUUGCCCAUGUUCUCUUUAAUCCAGUCUUAUUUUUCAACUGUCUUCUCCAAUAAAAAUGUCAGAAAUGACAAAUUAAUAUUUUUACAAAAAAUGAAUGGACUAGUUUAUUAAAUAAGAAACUGCCUGGCUCUGCUAACUCAACCUCUAUUUGUAAGAGCCAUUAGAAUUCAUAUUUUAAGCUUUUUAUGUAAUGAUAAUGCUUCUUAACAUGUCUAAUGUUAAAAGCAUGAAGUCUAACACCUAGUGCUUUUACCUUAUAAUCUGUGGAAAUAAAAGGCUCUAGAAUGUACAAGACUAUGCAUUUAUUUCCUUUUAAUAUUUUUCAUUUAUAUACUUGCCACAAAGUGUAGACUGUGCACAGUUUAUCCAUAUAUUUAUCCAAAAAUCUAUCCAUACACUUAAUUUCAUAUAUUUUCCUUAAGCAAAUUUUAUUCUUCAUUUAGCAAAAAUAGGAUUUAUUCACACAUAUACACAUAUAGUAUUUUUCUGCCCAGUCUCAGAUGAUUUAUAGAGGGAAGACAAACUAGGGCAAGGCAAAUUCUAUGGCUUGAUGUGAAGCCUGUGAGGUUUGACACUCUAAUCACUUCUGGCACUGAGCUUUGCAGCCAUGAGCAAGCUAAUAAAUUAAAAAAAAAAAAAAAAAAAAAAAAAAGAGAGAGAGAAGGCCUUGUCUGCUUCAUUUUGAAGUAGAUGCUUUCGCUGAGCCAUGAAAGAAGAUAGCAAGGGAAGCCCUACCUAUGGAGCAUGAAACAGGGGCAGUACGUGUGUGAGGUGAUUAGGAACCUGGAGCAAAAUGCUGAAAUUGACCACUCCAGAACAUAUACAUGUUCUUUAUUCUUCCAUUUGUCCCCUGUGUGUGACAGAAAUGGAAAUCCUUGGAAAUUAACAAAUUCAGUUAUGAUGGUUACUGCAAUUGUUACUAUCUGAGUACAUAAAAUGAUUUGAUAGAAGACUGUACAAUUAAAGAUCAACUCUGAGAAUGACAGAUCACAAUAAGCCUUCUCUCACAACCUCUCCCUUCUCCAUUUUCCUGUCCUCCCUAUAGACAACCGACAUUGUUAAGACAAUAGGGCAAAACUGUUGGUUUGGGAAAUUGUGCCAGGGACAAAACCUGACAUACACAUGCAUGUACAAACCUCUGACAUGCACCAGAGCUUGAAAAUGAAGAUUUGAGAAUGAUAACAAUUAAAAAGAUUGCUAUAGACUAACAGUUUAAAGCAAUUUAUGUCAUAUGUUCAGAAGAAUUCAAGGACCUGUAAAGUAGCAAUCAUUAAACCAGAGUUCAGGCCUCACUUCAGCUGCUACUUGUUUCUGCAAUGUACAAUAGGUCCAGCAGGAAACACCCAGCCAAAUACAGUCAAUAGCUUUGCAGUUGGGUUACACAAAAGAUCUGAGCCACGGCUGUUCAAAUUCCCUGCACUAAGUCAGGAAAGGUGUUUGUUUGUUUUUUUUCUACAGGUCUGCAAUGCAUUUUUACCAAAAAGAUAGGAUCUCUCACCUGUCUUGAUAAGAAACUCCAUCCUAAACCAGAGAGCACUUUGCUGAAGCUUUAUCUCUAUUGAAGACAAGAGUUUUGAACAAAGUGGUAUCUUCUAGUUGUUUCAAUGGAAAAUUAUGAAGUAGCUCUUUAAAUUGUCCAAGAGUUCUUCUGACUGAAGCUGGCAGUCAUGAGAGUGGAAGGAGAAAGGUGUGGAAGCUGGCACGCUUGCAAUUACAGCCAGAGGCCAAGAAUGGAACAAAUGA